CACCGAAACACCGAACGCAUCUCAACGGCUAUGAGUGAGAUCUUAUGAAAACUGGUGACAGACGAAAAAGUAUAUGUCAUUUCACCGUACAGGAAUACAGUGUAUAACGUGUAUGAAUAAAAUAACAAUAUUUUAAUAUUUUACUUUACGCCCAGGACUGCGUUGACAGAGAUAAAUCGAGACGAUAAUCAGUAAAGAAGAAAAAAAGUACUCGAAAACUGAAUGUAUACGAGGGAAAGGGGAGGGGUUAAAACGAUCACGCGUUUCGGUUAUAUUGUAUUAUGACGCAUACUCAGUUUCGGAAGUUUCGGCCACUGAAAUAUCGGUCUCCGAGCGAAAACAAAAAUUGUAGAGAAAAGAAAAACGCAUAUAGAAAUAUACAAUAUUAUUAUUAAACUGUUGUAGGUAAUUGAAGGGUCGACUGCGACAACCGGCUACGUCCACAUUUACUAAACGUUCGGUGCAGACGGCAAAAAACAUUUUUAAAAUAAAUAGAAAGAUAAAAUAGAUUUCAGAAAAAUUGUGUAUUGUAAUAGUUAGUAUUACGAAAUGCUCGGACUUUGAAAUGCGCACAGUAUUGUUAUUUUAGUCGGUCCUGUGUUAUUUUUUAAUCAAUACAUAUUGGAUACAUUCCCAAUAUUGACCUUUAAUUUUAGUAUUAUUUACUUUUGUAGAAAAAAUUAUUCAUUUCAAAUUAAGUUAAAUAUUAUAUUUGUUUACGAAUUUUACUAGAAAUCUUUCUAAAAACACAAUGCGUAACUAUAAGAACGUAAAGUGCUAUAACAG